rnacentral:rRNA from 1 species
UACAGAGGGGGCAAGCGUUGUUCGGAAUUACUGGGCGUAAAGGGCGCGUAGGCGGCCCGCUAAGUCGAACGUGAAAUCCCCGAGCUCAACUCGGGAACUGCGUCCGAUACUGGCGGGCUUGAAUCCGGGAGAGGGGUGCGGAAUUCCAGGUGUAGCGGUGAAAUGCGUAGAUAUCUGGAGGAACACCGGUGGCGAAGGCGGCAUCCUGGACCGGCAUUGACGCUGAGGCGCGAAAGCUAGGGGAGCAAACGGG